CGAGCGAUGAAGCACCUUCGGGUGUGAAUUAGCGGCGAACGGGUGAGGAACACGUGAAGAAUCUGCCUUCAACUCUGGGAUAACUCCGGGAAACCGGGGCUAAUACCGGAUAUGAGCCUUGAUCGCAUGAUCGGGGCUGGAAAGUUUUUCGGUUGAAGAUGACUUCGCGGCCUAUCAGCUUGUUGGUGAGGUAAUGGCUCACCAAGGCGACGACGGGUAGCCGGCCUGAGAGGGCGACCGGCCACACUGGGACUGAGACACGGCCCAGACUCCUACGGGAGGCAGCAGUGGGGAAUAUUGGGCAAUGGAGGAAACUCUGACCCAGCGACGCCGCGUGAGGGAUGAAGGCCUUCGGGUUGUAAACCUCUUUCAGUAGGGAAGAAGCGAAAGUGACGGUACCUACAGAAGAAGCACCGGCUAACUAUGUGCCAGCAGCCGCGGUAAUACAUAGGGUGCAAGCGUUGUCCGGAAUUAUUGGGCGUAAAGAGCUCGUAGGUGGUUCGAUACGUCGGAUGUGAAAAUCAGGGGCUCAACCCCUGACCUGCAUCCGAUACGGUCGAGCUAGAGUUUGGUAGGGGAGACUGGAAUUCCUGGUGUAGCGGUGGAAUGCGCAGAUAUCAGGAGGAACA
rnacentral:rRNA from 1 species